rnacentral:rRNA from 1 species
AGAAGGGUCUGGGCUCGAGCCUGCCUGGAGCCGCCGCCGGUGCAGAUCUUGGUGGUAGUAGCAAAUACUCCAGCGAGGCCCUGGAGGACUGAUGUGGAGAAGGGUUUCGUGUGAACAGCCGUUGCACACGAGUCAGUCGAUCCUAAGCCCUAGGAGAAAUCCGACGCCUACGGCGACGGGAUUAUCGAAAUUUUCAAACGACCCGUUGAUCGGGCGAAAGGGAAUCCGGUUCCUAUUCCGGAACCCGGCAGCGGAACCGCUGUUUGUCGGGCCCUCACAAGGGGUUCGUCAGGGUAACCUAAAAGGGCCCGGAGACGCCGUCGGGAGCCCCGGAAAGAGUUUUCUUUUCUGCAUGAGCGUUCGAGUUCCCUGGAAUCCUCUCGCAGGGAGAUAGGGUUUGGAACGCGAAGAGCACCGCAGUUGCGGCGGUGCCCGGGAAUUCCCGACGGACCUUGAAAAUCCGGGAGAGGGCCACGUGGAGGUGUCGCGCCGGCUCGUACCCAUAUCCGCAGCAGGUCUCCAAGGUGAAGAGCCUCUAGUCGAUAGAAUAAUGUAGGUAAGGGAAGUCGGCAAAUCGGAUCCGUAACUUCGGG